CAACAGUGAGGUGUCGCUGUCUGCCCAUGGAAAGAGGCCAGUUUGCAGUAACCUUCCUAAGGCACAACUCAUUUCUGGCAAAUGCCACCAGAUUUACUUGUAUGAAAAACAUAAGGAAAAGCUCUUCAUUUUUACUGGCAUGGAAAGAAAACCUACAAAUCAAGACCAUAUAUUCAUUUUUAUUUCUGUAAACAAAUUAAUCAAAUCGAAUGUAUCCAUAAGAAUUAAGCCUCUUACUUUUGUCACACUGCCCUAGCCACAACCUGUUAGUCAGAUUGCUUUGUAGAUCUAGUUCUAUUUUAAAUACAGGAAUGUGUAGAAAACUAA